rnacentral:rRNA from 2 species
AGACCCGAAACCCGGUGAUCUAGCCAUGGGCAGGUUGAAGGUUGGGUAACACUAACUGGAGGACCGAACCGACUAAUGUUGAAAAAUUAGCGGAUGACCUGUGGCUGGGGGUGAAAGGCCAAUCAAACCGGGAGAUAGCUGGUUCUCCCCGAAAGCUAUUUAGGUAGCGCCUCGUGAAUUCAUCUCCGGGGGUAGAGCACUGUUUCGGCUAGGGGGCCAUCCCGGCUUACCAACCCGAUGCAAACUGCGAAUACCGGAGAAUGUUAUCACGGGAGACACACGGCGGGUGCUAACGUCCGUCGUGAAGAGGGAAACAACCCAGACCGCCAGCUAAGGUCCCAAAGUCAUGGUUAAGUGGGAAACGAUGUGGGAAGGCCCAGACAGCCAGGAUGUUGGCUUAGAAGCAGCCAUCAUUUAAAGAAAGCGUAAUAGCUCACUGGUCGAGUCGGCCUGCGCGGAAGAUGUAACGGGGCUAAACCAUGCACCGAAGCUGCGGCAGCGACACUAUGUGUUGUUGGGUAGGGGAGCGUUCUGUAAGCCUGUGAAGGUGUGUCGUGAGGCAUGCUGGAGGUAUCAGAAGUGCGAAUGCUGACAUAAGUAACGAUAAAGCGGGUGAAAAGCCCGCUCGCCGGAAGACCAAGGGUUCCUGUCCAACGUUAAUCGGGGCAGGGUGAGUCGACCCCUAAGGCGAGGCCGAAAGGCGUAGUCGAUGGGAAACGGGUUAAUAUUCCCGUACUUGGUGUUACUGCGAAGGGGGGACGGAGAAGGCUAUGUUGGCCGGGCGACGGUUGUCCCGGUUUAAGCGUGUAGGUGUGUGUUCCAGGUAAAUCCGGUUCACUUUAACACUGAGGCGUGACGACGAGGCACUACGGUGCUGAAGCAACAAAUGCCCUGCUUCCAGGAAAAGCCUCUAAGCAUCAGGUAACAUCAAAUCGUACCCCAAACCGACACAGGUGGUCAGGUAGAGAAUACCAAGGCGCUUGAGAGAACUCGGGUGAAGGAACUAGGCAAAAUGGUGCCGUAACUUCGGGAGAAGGCACGCUGACACGUAGGUGAAGUGAUUUACUCAUGGAGCUGAAGUCAGUCGAAGAUACCAGCUGGCUGCAACUGUUUAUUAAAAACACAGCACUGUGCAAACACGAAAGUGGACGUAUACGGUGUGACGCCUGCCCGGUGCCGGAAGGUUAAUUGAUGGGGUCAGCGCAAGCGAAGCUCCUGAUCGAAGCCCCGGUAAACGGCGGCCGUAACUAUAACGGUCCUAAGGUAGCGAAAUUCCUUGUCGGGUAAGUUCCGACCUGCACGAAUGGCGUAAUGAUGGCCAGGCUGUCUCCACCCGAGACUCAGUGAAAUUGAACUCGCUGUGAAGAUGCAGUGUACCCGCGGCAAGACGGAAAGACCCCGUGAACCUUUACUAUAGCUUGACACUGAACAUUGAGCCUUGAUGUGUAG